GAUGAACGCUGGCGGCGUGCCUAAUACAUGCAAGUCGAGCGAACGGACGAGAAGCUUGCUUCUCUGAUGUUAGCGGCGGACGGGUGAGUAACACGUGGAUAACCUACCUAUAAGACUGGGAUAACUUCGGGAAACCGUAGCUAAUACCGGAUAAUAUUUUGAACCGCAUGGUUCAAAAGUGAAAGACGGUCUUGUUGUCACUUAUAGAUGGAUCCGCGCUGCAUUAGCUAGUUGGUAAGGUAACGGCUUACCAAGGCAACGAUGCAUAGCCGACCUGAGAGGGUGAUCGGCCACACUGGAACUGAGACACGGUCCAGACUCCUACGGGAGGCAGCAGUAGGGAAUCUUCCGCAAUGGGCGAAAGCCUGACGGAGCAACGCCGCGUGAGUGAUGAAGGUCUUCGGAUCGUAAAACUCUGUUAUUAGGGAAGAACAUAUGUGUAAGUAACUGUGCGCAUCUUGACGGUACCUAAUCAGAAAGCCACGGCUAACUACGUG
rnacentral:rRNA from 1 species